CAGGAAUUACACAGAUAUUGUUUGCUCUGCAGACCUGAGCUGCCUCUUAAGGGUGCUGAUUACACAGCCUUCUUCAUCUCAGCCUAUGUCCAGAUGGAUCACAGAAUCCUCACCACAAGGGAGCUGGCCAGCCUGACCUGGAAGGACCAUCCAGAAACUCAACCAAGGCACCACAGACUGCUGGGGAAAGGUUCUUGCUGUUUUAAAUAACAUGUCCAGGCCGGGCACAAUGGCUCACGCCAGUAAUCCCAGCACUUUGGGAGGCCGAGGAAGGCGGAUCACCCGAGCUCAAGAGUUCAAGACCAGCCUGGCCA
rnacentral:lncRNA from 10 species